rnacentral:rRNA from 1 species
AGAGACCGGCGCACGGGUGCGUAACGCGUAUGCAAUCUACCUUUUACAGAGGGAUAGCCCAGAGAAAUUUGGAUUAAUACCUCAUAGUAUUAUUGAGUGGCAUCACUUAAUAAUUAAAGUCACAACGGUAAAAGAUGAGCAUGCGUCCCAUUAGCUAGUUGGUAAGGUAACGGCUUACCAAGGCAACGAUGGGUAGGGGUCCUGAGAGGGAGAUCCCCCACACUGGUACUGAGACACGGACCAGACUCCUACGGGAGGCAGCAGUGAGGAAUAUUGGACAAUGGGCGCAAGCCUGAUCCAGCCAUGCCGCGUGCAGGAUGACGGUCCUAUGGAUUGUAAACUGCUUUUGUACGAGAAGAAACACUGCUUCGUGAAGCAGCUUGACGGUAUCGUAAGAAUAAGGAUCGGCUAACUCCGUGCCAGCAGCCGCGGUAAUACGGAGGAUCCAAGCGUUAUCCGGAAUCAUUGGGUUUAAAGGGUCCGUAGGCGGUUUAGUAAGUCAGUGGUGAAAGCCCAUCGCUCAACGGUGGAACGGCCAUUGAUACUGCUGAACUUGAAUUAUUAGGAAGUAACUAGAAUAUGUAGUGUAGCGGUGAAAUGCUUAGAGAUUACAUGGAAUACCAAUUGCGAAGGCAGGUUACUACUAAUUGAUUGACGCUGAUGGACGAAAGCGUGGGGAGCGAACAGGAUUAGAUACCCUGGUAGUCCACGCCGUAAACGAUGGAUACUAGCUGUUGGGCGCAAGUUCAGUGGCUA